rnacentral:rRNA from 1 species
AUUUAAAGAAAGCGUAAUAGCUCACUGGUCGAGUCGGCCUGCGCGGAAGAUGUAACGGGGCUAAACCAUGCACCGAAGCUGCGGCAGCGACACUAUGUGUUGUUGGGUAGGGGAGCGUUCUGUAAGCCUGCGAAGGUGACCUGUGAGGGUUGCUGGAGGUAUCAGAAGUGCGAAUGCUGACAUAAGUAACGAUAAAGCGGGUGAAAAGCCCGCUCGCCGGAAGACCAAGGGUUCCUGUCCAACGUUAAUCGGGGCAGGGUGAGUCGACCCCUAAGGCGAGGCCGAAAG